rnacentral:rRNA from 1 species
CCUACGGGGGGCUGCAGUGGGGAAUAUUGGACAAUGGGCGAAAGCCUGAUCCAGCCAUGCCGCGUGUGUGAAGAAGGCCUUCGGGUUGUAAAGCACUUUCAGUGGGGAAGAAAGCCUUGGGGCUAAUACCCUCGAGGAAGGACAUCACCCACAGAAGAAGCACCGGCUAACUACGUGCCAGCAGCCGCGGUAAUACGGAGGGUGCGAGCGUUAAUCGGAAUUACUGGGCGUAAAGCGCGCGUAGGCGGUCUGAUAAGCCGGUUGUGAAAGCCCCGGGCUCAACCUGGGAACGGCAUCCGGAACUGUCAGGCUAGAGUGCAGGAGAGGAAGGUAGAAUUCCCGGUGUAGCGGUGAAAUGCGUAGAGAUCGGGAGGAAUACCAGUGGCGAAGGCGGCCUUCUGGACUGACACUGACGCUGAGGUGCGAAAGCGUGGGUAGCAAACAGGAUUAGAUACCCUAGUAGUC